rnacentral:rRNA from 1 species
AGGCCGGGGGGAGUACUAACGAGGAUUCCCUCAGUAACGGCGAGUGACGCGGGAUCUAGCCCAGCACCGAAUCCCCCGGCGGAACGCCGGCGGGAACAGUGGUGUUCGGGACGACCCACGCCCGUCGGUCGGACGCCCGAGUCCUCCUGAUAGGGGCUUCUCCCAUAGAGGGUGUAAGGUACCUACUGUGUCAGGUCAACAAGCCCGUGUAGUGCUAAGUUUUUUUAUGCGAGAGCGCGAUCCAAAAAUGGGGUUGGAGCCGCCCACAGGGGGCACCUGACCCACCAUAAAAAAGGUGGGUCUGUCUAGCAAGUGAG